AGAGUUUGAUCCUGGCUCAGAAUCAACGCUGGCGGCGUGCCUAACACAUGCAAGUCGAACGAGAAAGUGGAGCAAUCCAUGAGUAAAGUGGCGCACGGGUGAGUAACACGUGACUGACCUACCUUUUAGUGGGGGAUAACCUAGGGAAACCUGGGCUAAUACCGCAUAAUACCUACGGGUCAAAGUCCGCUUCGGCGGACGCUGAAAGAGGGGGUCGCGGCCGAUUAGCUAGUUGGCGGGGUAAUGGCCCACCAAGGCGAUGAUCGGUAUCCGGCCUGAGAGGGCGCACGGACACACUGGAACUGAAACACGGUCCAGACUCCUACGGGAGGCAGCAGUGGGGAAUUUUGCGCAAUGGGGGAAACCCUGACGCAGCAACGCCGCGUGGAGGAUGAAGUCCCUUGGGACGUAAACUCCUUUCGAUCGGGACGAUAAUGACGGUACCGGAAGAAGAAGCCCCGGCUAACUACGUGCCAGCAGCCGCGGUAAU
rnacentral:rRNA from 1 species